rnacentral:rRNA from 1 species
AUUGAACGCUGGCGGCAGGCCUAACACAUGCAAGUCGAGCGAGCGGCGGGCGGGUGAGUAAUGUCUGGGAAACUGCCUGAUGCAGGGGGAUAACUACUGGAAACGGUAGCUAAUACCGCAAAACAUCAGAUGUGACCAGAGGGUAUUAGCUAUUGGGGGGGGUAACGGCUCACCUAGGCGACGAUCCCUAGUUGGUCUGAGAGGGUGACCAGACACACUGGAACUGAGACACGGUCCGGACUCCUACGGGAGGCAGCAGUUGUGAAUAUUACACAAUGGGCGCAAGCCUGAUGCACCCAUGCAGCGUGUAUGAAGAAGGCCUUCGGGUUGUAAAGCACUUUCAGCGGGGAGGCGUUACCCGCAGAAGAAGCACCGGCUAACUCCGUGCCAGCAGCCGCGGUAAUUC